GAAUUUCAUUAUAAAUGAAUGGAAGGGAAAGAAAACAAAAACCAAAAAGGUUUUAGGCACUUUUCGCAGCCUGGGCCAACAAGUGUCUGUGGCCAUUUGUUAGUUUUUCCAGUUUCCAGUUUGCAUCCAGUGCAGCUGGAGAGUAUGCUCGGCUGGUGGCAAGGUUUGUACUCUUGGAGAGGGCUUUCUGCUCAGUGCUUGGCGGAGGUCUCACUACAGGGUAUGCUCGCUGGCACACUCGUUGUAGUAGUCCGCGGAGUGGACGAUGGCCAUGUCCAUGUCUGCCAAACGCAGCUCGUAGGCAUUCGCUAAUUGAGCCGCGACUGCCUGCUGUCCAUCUAUCCACAAUCCAUCCAUCGCUGAUGGUCCGAGGCCAGUUUGUGAAAAUUUGUGUUAACAUUUCCGGUGCUGUUGGCCAUCUGUAGAAUCAGGCAACUUUUACUUUUCCAUUUUUCGAGUCUUUUUUUGUUUUUGUUUUUUGACACUAAUUUCUUUUUGGUUUUUGGCAAAGCCUUCCGAUGCUCGCUCGAGCCUCAC
rnacentral:lncRNA from 1 species